CCCCGCGCCAGGCCCUGUUUAUUCUGGCACAGAGCACAGGGAUGUCCGAGCCCUCUACGCUUGUUGAACUUCCUGGUUUUCUUAUCAUGCAGCUGGCCCCGCCAGGGAACAGGUGGAAGGCCGACUGGUGCCCAAGGGACCAAGAGAGGAUAUUGAGAAAUGCCACAAAUGCCUCUUGGGCCCCCCAAGGGAGAAGGAGCCAUGGGCAGGGCCGCUGAGGGGCUGGUGGGGGCAAGGCAGAAGGAGCCGGACAGAUUUUAUAGGUAAAGCCUUCCCUCUCCUUCACCUGGCCUGAGCCUCUGUUCCCUGCUCCGGAGUUCUCUGCUCUGUUCGGCCAGGUCUCCUCGAUUUCUUUGGACAGAUCUUGCCUUGGCCAACCUCCACACCUUUGCCUGGGCCGUGCCUCAGAACUUUCUUCCAAGUCUCCCCUGGAAAGCCUAGUUGGUGGGUAGAAUAAAAGAAUGACCGAAUCCUGAAUCGUUCCAAGGGUAGGAUGGGGCAGAGCUAGCUGGCCUGGCUAGAAGAGAGGUUUCCGGAGAGGAACCAUUGGCACAUCGAUCAGGGGUCCGGCUCUGGCAGUUCCAGCUGCCCACCCAGGAGGGUCAGAAGCUGGAGGGGCUUUCACACCAUUAGUCAUCCCGGGUGAGUGGCAAGCAGACACCCAUCGGGAGUGGGUCAUAGCGGGGAGCAGGUGAGCGUCACUGAAUUACUCAUGUCCCCUCACUGGACCCCGUGGGGAACCAAGGUGAGCCAGGACAGCGGCCUGAGCCUGGGGGACCUCUACCAGGAAGAUAUACUACAUUAGAAUAAAGUGAUUUGGCUCCACGUUGAAGGUCAAUUGCAGUCUUUAGAGAAGAUGGAGAUGAAACUGUAGAGUUCAACAACGAGAAACCUGGAGACAACCAUGGGGGCUCUCGUCCCCAUCCUUCACACACGUGGAUCUGAUGGUUUGUGCGGCUGCCUCGUCACGUUUACUGGGUCCAGAGUGCCCCUGGGGUUCCUGGAACUGUUUACCUGUUCUUGCCUUUGUAGGGAAGUGGUGUCACUUGGUUUUCUGGAUGCACAAAAGGAAGCUUCAAGAGAUUGGCAGAUCCAGGCUUACAUGUGGUGAGAAGAACGCAGAGAAGGAUUCAGACCAGAGUCCACGUUCUUGACGGCCAGGCCUGCCCAGGCUCCUGGACAGAGAACUCGAUCCCUCGUGAGUGAAAGAAAUCAGCCAGAUAACAGCAAGACAAGUUUUUCCCCGGUGGAAAACCAGGAGUUCCAGAAUAAUGAAGCCAAUGAAAAGAUGGGCUGAGUAUGAGCUGGCAUGUGUGACCAUGUGUGUCCAGCGGCUUGUGCCACUAAAGCUCGGGUAGGGGCCUCCUGGGUGCCAGCCCCAAACUGGGCACUGUGAGGACCAGACACGGUCUCUGCUUGCGAGAGACUGAGGGGUGGAAGGGCCUGGCCCCAGUCGGUGCCUGGACAAAGCUCUCCUUCUCAGCUUUCUGUCGAUGAGUUGAGUAACCCUGGACGUCCCCUGUGGGAAAUUGUUCUUCCAGCCCCAGCAGAACCUGGAGAGUCCUCCUUUGGGAGAAGUCGGACUUCUCUUAGAACGCCAUUUCUCUCCUUUCCAAAGGCAGAAAUGUCUCUCUUUCCCAUCCUGAAACUCUGUGCUUGACCCAUAGGAAGGCAUUGGCCUUCUGGCCUGUCUGAGCUGGGGCUCCCUCAUUCUGCACCCGGGGGCUGGGUGUUUCUCACCCACCUUCUGGGUGUCAGGCCAUGGGUGAACCUAGAAGAAAGGAGGGGUGAUGGUACGGAAGUCAGCUAUUCCUUCGUGACCCCAGAUGAGGCCAGGCUUCUAGGUGGGGCAUCGAGGCACCUGAAGG